AGUAACACGUGAGUGACCUGCCUUUUAGACUGGAGCAACUUACCGAAAGGUGAGCUAAUGCCGGAUGAGUUAUAUAAGUGCAUGUUUAUAUAGGAAAAGUUGGGGAGACCUGACGCUGAAAGAUGGACUCGCGUCCCAUUAGCUAGUUGGUAGGGUAAUGGCCUACCAAGGCGACGAUGGGUAGCCGGCCUGAGAGGGUGGCCGGCCACACUGGGACUGAGACACGGCCCAGACUCCUACGGGAGGCAGCAG
rnacentral:rRNA from 1 species